rnacentral:rRNA from 1 species
GACGAACGCUGGCGGCGUGCUUAACACAUGCAAGUCGAGCGGAAAGGCCCUUUCGGGGGUACUCGAGCGGCGAACGGGUGAGUAACACGUGAGUAAUCUGCCCUGUGCUUUGGGAUAGCCACCGGAAACGGUGAUUAAUACCGGAUAUGACCUCCUCUCGCAUGAGAUGGGGGUGGAAAGUUUUUUCGGCGCAGGAUGUGCUCGCGGCCUAUCAGCUUGUUGGUGGGGUAAUGGCCUACCAAGGCUUCGACGGGUAGCCGGCCUGAGAGGGUGACCGGCCACACUGGGACUGAGACACGGCCCAGACUCCUACGGGAGGCAGCAGUGGGGAAUAUUGGACAAUGGGCGGAAGCCUGAUCCAGCAACGCCGCGUGAGGGAUGACGGCCUUCGGGUUGUAAACCUCUUUCAGCACCGACGAAGCGAGAGUGACGGUAGGUGCAGAAGAAGGACCGGCCAACUACGUGCCAGCAGCCGCCGUAAAAC